AUGGGGGGUGAUUUGAAAAUCAAACAAACGGACUGAGGAUGUAUAUGCAGGACUUAAAAGAUACUUAGGAAUUCUUCGUUUAUGACCCCAU
rnacentral:snoRNA from 1 species